CCAAUAGCGUAUAUUAAAGUUGUUGCAGUUAAAAAGCUCGUAGUUGAAUUUCGAGACCGGCUUACUGGUCGUGCUUUUGUACGUACUGGUAUAAUCGGUUUCUCCUUUCUGACGAACUUUAAUGCCAUUAAUUUGGUGUUUUAGGGAAUCAGGACUGUUACUUUGAAAAAAUUAGAGUGUUUAAAGCAGGCUCACGCUUGAAUACAUUAGCAUGGAAUAACGGAAUAGGACGUUUGAUUCUAUUUUGUUGGUUUCUAGGAUCGACGUAAUGAUUAAUAGGGAUAGUUGGGGGCAUUAGUAUUCAAUUGUCAGAGGUGAAAUUCUUGGAUUUAUUGAAGACUAACUACUGCGAAAGCAUUUGCCAAGGAUGUUUUCAUUAAUCAAGAACGAAAGUUAGGGGAUCGAAGACGAUCAGAUACCGUCGUAGUCUUAACCAUAAACUAUGCCGACUAGGGAUCGGAUGAUGUUAAUUUUUUAAUGACUCAUUCGGCGCCUUACG
rnacentral:rRNA from 1 species